rnacentral:misc_RNA from 1 species
UCAAGUAUACCAAUUGUUGAAUCACAUCAUUCUUUCGACUUUACAUGCUUUCUUUUCCUUUCUUGUUAGAAUCCUUCUUUGAUGGUUUCGUCUUUCUUCUUGGAGCACCACCCGUGGCAGGUUCCACCAAUGGGCCUGACCAUGUUUGGAUCGGUUCUUUGGAAUAGGAGAAGUUCAUGGAAGUGAAAGGGACUUCUGAGGGUUCGUAGGCUGGAUCAAUGUGAUGUGAAGAACCCAAUGUAUAACCUAAAGUUCCAUCCUGGUGUGGUGGAGGAAACUUUUCACUCUUG